UCCCAUGUAGCUCAGUUGGUAGAGCAUGGCAUUUGCAAUGUCAGAGUCGUGGGUUUGAUUCCCAUGGGGGAC
rfam:Salmo salar isolate Sally breed double haploid chromosome ssa29, whole genome shotgun sequence.